UGAGCGGAAUUCGUGAGACCUGCUUUAUAGGUAAGUCAGGCCACUACUCAACCUGCGCUGUAGUUCAGGUGUGCCUAAACAAUUACUGAACUUGCACUCUGAUGUUUGUUUACUUCUGGACACACCUGAGCCAGCACUCCUAUGGACAUAGUGAGUUUGAACACUGGAGGACAUGGUACACCUCUACUGAGCAUGAGUUCAAGGGCAGGCAUCCGGGCUCUGCAGAGAACAUGCUCUAGUUUCACACAUUCCACAGUAACUGAACUUGCAAUUGGGAGUACAGCUCUCAUGACUACAGAGUGCACACAUUUUAUCAUGGGUUUUGCACUACUGCGGUUUACUCAGGAACAUAUCUCCCAUCAUGACUGUGUGUGCCUUCAAGAGCCAAUGUUCUGACACUACAGAGACUAUGCUGUAGAGUAAGAAUGCCUGAGCUACACACCUGCACACUGAAUCAUGCAUCCCGGCAGUAUCAAUCCUAGUACUAUAGCACACCUGUGACUUCUGAGUCCUUACACUAAGCAGGCAUGGCACAGCUAGUGAGCAUGUGGCCUAGAGCAUGUGUGUGGCCAAUACUAAUUUUGCACUCUGAAGCAUGUGUCUUGCCACUUGUAAGCGGUUCAGCUACUGAUUUUGCACCCUGUUACACUAUUUAAUCACUGCUGAGCCUGCCUUAUAGACCAUGAGUUCCACUACUACUAAUCUUGCCCCAUGGCCUGUGAGCUUAAAGUAGUGAUCCCACACUCUGCAGCUGAAAUUUGCCAAUGACUUGGCUUGCCCGCUGUUGCAUAUUUCCCCAAACUCUUCUUCCUGUACUCUAGAGCAUGUGUCCCAGCUACUGAAUUUGCACUCUGGAGGACCUAUUCCAGGAAAGUGGAGGUUGCAUUAUAAAACACAUAUCCUACCCACGAGUGAACCGUCAUUCUAGAUCAACUGUGUCACCACUAGUGACUUUGAAUUCUGAAGCAUUAAAGUCACUUCCCUGAAGUAUUGCUCUAGAAGGUGUGUGCAACCAUCACUCCAGUGGCAUUUUAUACCAGCCAUUAUGCUGCUAGCCAUCCAGCACUCUAGACUGUAUAAGUUGUGAGUAGUGUACCUGUGUUCCACAGCUACAUCUAUGGAUGAUCUUCCACAACUAGAGACUUGGUGUAUACUUCAUAUUUCCUGCCUCAAUUGAUCAUGUGUCACAUCACACAUAUGCCACAACCCAUGUGCUUGCACUGUUGAGGACUUAUCUUCCCACUACUGAGCUUGUGUGGCAGAACAGGCAUAUCACAUUUUCUCAGUUUGAUCUCUGGAUAUGCAUCCAAAAAUAAAAACCCAGCGUUCAAGAG
rnacentral:sRNA from 1 species